UUCCUGUGGAGCAGUUAGCAGAGAUAGUGCUGUCACACUGGGUCUCUCUCUAUAACCUUCAUCAAAAUAUGGUGCAUCAUUCAUGCUUCAGCCAUGUUUGAGAAUGUGAACCAGUUUCUUCUCCUCUUUCCUUUUCCCACUACCUGCACAAGCAUGCUGGCAGAAGGAACUUGGCUUCAGGGUUCAGUAAAGUAUUUGAAUAGAUGCAUGCUAAGCCAUUGAAUGUAGGAGAGGAACAGAGCAAAAAUGUUGUUUUUAAAGGCCCAUGUCAAAGAAAUAACCCUUUGAAACAUGUUUCCUUGUGACAGGUUUCAGAGUAGCAGCCGUUUUAGUCUGUAUCCGCAAAAAGAAAAGGAGGACUUGUGGCACCUUAGAGACUAAGGUUACCAAAUGCAUCCCUAACUUGCCCAACUGUGUGUCAUAACUCUGUUCUUGUGGGGUUUCCCAUAGCUGUUGGGUUGCUGGCACAAAUACAUGAUUUUUUAAAUAUUUUUUUUAAAGAGACCUUGUAUCUGGGGGAGAUGAGACCUCCACAUGGUACGUACUCCUAGGGGUGGGAAGAGGGGUAAAUUAGGUUCCACUUUAGGGCAAGGAGCCUGGACAAGAUCCCUUUUUAACUUACUGUAAUUGUUUCAUUGAUCACAUCAAAUUACCCAACUUCAGAAAAUAAUUCAGUUGUGUAAUACUUAACGUUCAGUAUCUCAGCUUCUUGUAGAUGGUUUGUUUCUCUCCCCUCACUCUCCACAAAAGAUAGUUUCAUUUUAAUCGAAGAAAUAUCCACAAUACUGGUGAUCUGAGAAGUCGAGUCCCCACCUUGUAUGAUUCAAUAAGAGGAAACCGGUUUGUUUGGGAGUUUUUUCCCUGAAACUGUCAAAACAAAACCUUGGUACUGCAUGGCUGGCUUCAGCCAAAUUUGAACUCUGUUCAGCUUCAAACCCUUGAUAAUAGGAAGUGUGUACUGGAAAUACUCAGAACAUCUUGCCUCAUAUUACAGCAUUGUAUUUGCAUAGGCUUUUAUACUGUCUUUAAGUCAGAGGAAAGUAUAAAGGAAAGCCAUUAAUUAGUGAAAAUGCUCAUGUCUUUCAUAUAACAAUGUUCUGGAAAUUUUCACUCCAUUUAAUUCCAUCCAUUGCAGUGUUCAGGUUGUGCCAAUUUUAAAGUCACUCUCCCUUCUGGAGCCAGAAUGAAGUUUCUGAGAACUGUAACUGAGUUGAUUUAGCAGACAGAUACCACAGGGCUGCUGCAAACUAGUCUGCUCAGAGACCUGUUCCUUAACUUGCACCUCGCUUUAGAACUUUGACUUGUACAACUUAUGAUUCAGGAAAGUAUUGGCAGCUAUACUGGUUUGACAGGUUUGGUAUUCUGUGCAAAUGUCCUGCAUUGUUUACAUCAGAUCUGACUGAUGGGUUUAACUGUUGCAAACAUUGCAGAGUUUGCAUAAGACACAGUUGUGUUCGGAUCCUACAUAAAGUAUCUGAAAGAAUGUCAUUUUUAGUGUAUGGCUCGUGCUGGGCAUGGAAAUGCCAGCUUGCAGUGGAAAGACUACUCCAUUUCUGUCUGGGCAAGGUGAGAACUGCCCUUCUGCUCCUGCUUCAUCUUCGCCUGUAAGCUCAUCAAACACACAAUCUACAACUGUUGCCUUGACUUGGGAAUAAUGUUAGCUAAGUAGUGACCUUGGCGAAAAUACAGGCUGUCCUAUGCCCUAACUCUCUCUCCUGCCCAUAAGACACAAGUAACCAGCAUGUUAGGAUGUUGGCUGUAAUAGUGUUCUGGGUUAUACCCUGUGUAUUACUCAGGAAUCUGCCCAUUUCAGAGCUGUGCCAGAGGAAACUGUACAUUUUCCAUUCAGUAACAAUAAAGGAGUUCUUUAGUUUAUGCUGAUGCCGUCUCUGGUAACAUGUAUUUAACAUAGUUUGAACUUUUUACAUUUGCAAACAUACUGUAUGCACUUCUGAAAAGUUCUACUUACAAGAGAACUUCUGAGACUGAGCUUUCCAUUAAUCCAAGGUCUGUUUUGUUGCCUUGAAAUCUGCAUAGUGUGAGAAUUGUGUAGAUUGUCUCUGGGGUCUGUAUGUUUAGAAUACUAAAGUUCUGGUUGGACUUUAUGCUCACAGUUCUUGCCAGAAGUGGUACAUGCUUGGCCUAGGGAAAUGCUGUGUAAUAUAACUUGGCUGCAGACUUUUGUGUGUACUCUCAGGUUUAGCUUUAAAAUUGUAGACACUUUGUGGAAGCUGGGGGCAAGAGAAGAGUAAAGUCACAGUCAGUAAUCCAGAGUGUGUUUUCCUGAAGUACAUAUUUUCAUAGCUAUGAUUAUGUAGCCCAGCUAAUAAAGUCUCAGACUUACAAACAAGUAGGAGAAGAGACACCCAUUCUUUGGAAAUCUGAACAUCUGGGGUGAAAUCCUGGUCCCCGAGGAGUCAAUUGCAGUUUUGCUACUGACUUCAGUGGUGGAGUUUUGCACGCUUAUUUUGUCUUUGUUUUCCAGAGUGGGUUAACCGAAAUAGUUUAAAUAGUUGACAGAUAAGAAUAUUGACUUACUCAAUUCUGUCUUCCUGAAAGACACAUGCUCUACAACUGCCUUAAACCUCGAUAACUCUGGCAAAUCUAUGGAGUAAAGAAAGGAAGUUUUGUUUUGAUCUCCUCUCCUGGGUCCAUUUUGGAUAACGAUGCCAGUGAUUCGCUGGGGGAGGAUAAAGGCAAAAAGUAACUUGUUCAAUGUUCCCUAAGGGGAGUGGGGGAGGAUUGGACCAGGUUGUUUCUUUUUGACCCUGACAAUGCUUUGUGUAAGGAAGCUUUGUACAGGAAAUGGGGGUGGGGCAAAAUUAAUAACUUCCCAAAUCUAAAUUGAGAUCGCAAAAGGGUCUGUAGAGGGGCAGCUAACUCCUGGCCACAUGACUGUCUAGAAAAUACAAUGGGAGAAUUCACCAAGAUUAGUCCAUAAUAGAAUCCAACUGACGCCAUCAAGAUCCCCAUCCAUAGGUAAUAGUAGAGUUUGGUCGGGAUUUUUACAUCUACACUUAGCAGAGCAUUUAUGCUCUUUGCUCCAUUUACUUGUAUUUAAAGCGCCUUGGCAAGGGUGGAGCUGCUUUACAAAUAUCACUGUGGACUUCCAUUCUUCACCCAGGAUACCCCCUUCAUAGGAGCUCCUUCAGAUGUGUGGCGUGACUCUCCAUCACGUGUAUAAAAUGCCAGCUAGCAAUUAGACCAGUGAUUGUAGUUGUUUUUCCUUCUUUUUAAUUUCCUCAUUGCUUAGGGUUUGCUGGUUAAGAUGCUGAUCCAAAAGUAAUGCAGAUA